rnacentral:rRNA from 1 species
CCCAGUAACGGCGAGUGAAGCGGCAAGAGCUCAAAUUUGAAAUCUGGCCUCCUACGGGGGUCCGAGUUGUAAUUUGUAGAGGAUGCUUCGGGUGUGGCCGCCGUCUAAGUUCCUUGGAACAGGACGUCAGAGAGGGUGAGAAUCCCGUCUUGGGCGGCCGGUCCGCGCCCGUGUGAAGCUCCUUCGACGAGUCGAGUUGUUUGGGAAUGCAGCUCUAAGCGGGUGGUAAAUUUCAUCUAAAGCUAAAUACUGGUCGGAGACCGAUAGCGCACAAGUAGAGUGAUCGAAAGGUUAAAAGCACCUUGAAAAGGGAGUUAAACAGCACGUGAAAUUGUUGAAAGGGAAGCGCUUGCGGCCAGACUCGGGGGCGGGGUUCAGCGGGCGCUCGUCGCCCGUGCACUCCCCGUCUCCCGGGCCAGCAUCAGUUUCGACGGCCGGUCAAAGGCCCCCGGAAUGUGUCGUCUCUCGGGACGUCUUAUAGCCGGGGGUGCAAUGCGGCCCGUCGGGACUGAGGAACGCGCUUCGGCUCGGAUGCUGGCGUAAUGGCCGUAAGCGGCCCGUCUUGAAACACGGACCAAGGAGUCUAACAUCCACGCGAGUGUUCGGGUGUCAAACCCGUGCGCGCAGUGAAAGCGAACGGAGGUGGGAGCCUUAGGGCGCACCAUCGACCGAUCCUGAAGUCUUCGGAUGGAUUUGAGUAGGAGCGUGGCCGUUGGGACCCGAAAGAUGGUGAACUAUGCCUGAAUAGGGUGAAGCCAGAGGAAACUCUGGUGGGAGGCUCGCAGCGGUUCUGACGUGCAAAUCGAUCGUCAAAUUUGGCAU